rnacentral:rRNA from 1 species
GAUGAACGCUGGCGGCGUGCCUAAUACAUGCAAGUCGAGCGAACAGACGAGGAGCUUGCUCCUCUGACGUUAGCGGCGGACGGGUGAGUAACACGUGGAUAACCUACCUAUAAGACUGGGAUAACUUCGGGAAACCGGAGCUAAUACCGGAUAAUAUAUUGAACCGCAUGGUUCAUUAGUGAAAGACGGUUUUGCUGUCACUUAUAGAUGGAUCCGCGCCGCAUUAGCUAGUUGGUAAGGUAACGGCUUACCAAGGCAACGAUGCGUAGCCGACCUGAGAGGGUGAUCGGCCACACUGGAACUGAGACACGGUCCAGACUCCUACGGGAGGCAGCAGUAGGGAAUCUUCCGCAAUGGGCGAAAGCCUGACGGAGCAACGCCGCGUGAGUGAUGAAGGUCUUCGGAUCGUAAAACUCUGUUAUUAGGGAAGAACAAAUGUGUAAGUAACUAUGCACGUCUUGACGGUACCUAAUCAGAAAGCCACGGCUAACUACGUG